rnacentral:rRNA from 1 species
GACGAACGCUGGCGGUGUGCUUAACACAUGCAAGUGGUGCGACGAACCAGAGCUUGCUCUGGGGGCAAAGCCGCGAACGGGUGAGUAACACGUGGGGUAAUCUACCCCGAUGACCGGGACAACCCGAGGAAACUCGGGCUAAUACCGGAUGUGGUACGGAGACAUAAAGUCUCUUUACUAAAGGUAGCUUCGGCUUCCGCAUUGGGAGGGGCCGCGGCCAUUAGCUAGUUGGUGGGGUCAAGGCCUACCAAGGCAACGAUGGGUAGCUGGUCCGAGAGGACGAUCAGCCACACUGGGACUGAGACACGGCCCAGACUCCUACGGGAGGCAGCAGUGGGGAA